UUAUCAGACUAGGUUCUUUCCCGCUAGUGAUAGCUCUAUUUACAAUCUUAUAAUAUUAACCAUAAGUCACAAAGUUGAUUGAUAUUUAUUUAAAAAUCGAUAUCUUAUUUUUCACAUAAUACGUAUAAAUAAUCGGUCUUUAUAAGUCAUUUCAUGACAUUCUAUACUCAGUUGAAUUCAUUGUAAAUAUGAAGAAAGCCUUCGUACUUUUCACGAUUUUUGUAGCGGUUCUCGUCGUGACUUCGACUGCGGUAUCCGCUAAACCAGAACCAUCUUUUCUUGGACGAUUUACUAGUCGUAGCUGCAAUAAUAGGGAGUGUCACCAGCGCUGUCGACGCAUCAUGUUUCCCGGAGGAGCCUGUAACGGAAAUACAUGUAAAUGUGAUAUUCUUUAAAAAAAUGGUUUUAUAUUACUGAGGAUGAUGAUUACUUUUAAAUGAUUGACGCAAUAAAAUAAAUUUGCAAUACAU